rfam:Bradyrhizobium lablabi strain CCBAT 23086 scaffold43, whole genome shotgun sequence.
UGACCUGCCGGCUUGGGAGAGCCCAAAGGUUUACGACGGAUCCGGACCACCGGCUUGGGAGAGCCAGUUUUCGGAUCGAUCAAGGGGAGAACCACCGAUGGAGAAUAUGCUUCUCGUCGGACUAUCGCGGCAGGUGACGCUGG